CCUACGGGAGGCAGCAGUAGGGAAUAUUGCUCAAUGGGGGAAACCCUGAAGCAGCAACGCCGCGUGGCGGAUGAAGGUUUUCUGAUUGUAAACUCCUUUUUUUAGAGAAGUUAAUAACUGUAUCUAACGAAUAAGCACCGUCUAACUCCGUGCCAGCAGCCGCGGUUAUACGUAGGGUGCAAGCGUUACUCGGAAUCACUGGGCUUAAGGAGCGCGUAGGCGGGAUAGCAAGUCAGAUGUUAAAUCCUAUGGCUUAACCAUAGAACUGCAUUUGAAACUGUUAUUCUAGAGUAUGGGAGAGGUAGGUGGAAGUCUUGGUGUAGGGGUAAAAUCCGUAGAGAUCAAGAGGAAUACUGAUUGCGAAGGCGACCUGCUAGAACAUAACUGACGCUGAUGCGCGAAAGCGUGGGGAGCAAACAGGAUUAGAUACCCCUGUAGUC
rnacentral:rRNA from 1 species